GGGUUUUCAUUUCUCUGCGGAGAUCCUUAUUCUAGACUGCCCGUGAGAAACAUGAGGAUGGCUUCAACCACGACAUGAAUAAAGAACAAAGGUAACAAAGGUCGGCUGACCCUUGGGCUGUUUCCCCACCUUGGCGAUUGUGAAUAAUGCUGCAGCUGACAUGGGAGCACAGAGAUCUCUUUGAGACAGUGAUUUUGUUUCCUUUGGAGAUAUACCCAGACAUGAAAUUGCUGGAUCCUAUGAUGGGGAAACUAAGGCAAAAGGAUUUAACAACUCACCCAAGGUGAUACAGCCAGUGUUUGGAGACAAGAAUUCUCACCCUACGUCACUCUCAUUGCAGAGCUUACAACUUGAAUUUGAUGUUGCCACUCAUGAUAGAAAGUAAGGUCUGGUCCUGGUGGUAUAGAAUAUAGUUCCUUUCUCCUAUAGGAAACAUGAGCUGUGAAACAAGCACAAAAUGUCCUGAAGAGUGGACACACGUCAUACGAGAAGCAUUUUAGGUCCCUCUGGUAGAGAGGGAGUGCUUAAUUACCAUGUGCCACUGCUGUUAACCUCUGCAAAUAAGUCUAAUUAUCACAGAUUAAUGAACAGAGCU